rnacentral:rRNA from 1 species
GAUGAACGCUGGCGGCGUGCCUAAUACAUGCAAGUCGAGCGAACAGACGAGGAGCUUGCUCCUCUGAUGUUAGCGGCGGACGGGUGAGUAACACGUGGAUAACCUACCUAUAAGACUGGGAUAACUUCGGGAAACCGGAGCUAAUACCGGAUAACAUGCUGAACCGCAUGGUUCAACAGUGAAAGACGGUCUUGCUGUCACUUAUAGAUGGAUCCGCGCCGCAUUAGCUAGUUGGUAAGGUAACGGCUUAUCAAGGCAACGAUGCGUAGCCGACCUGAGAGGGGGAUCGGCCACACGAGAACGGAAACACGGUCCAGACUCCUACGGGAGGCAGCAGUAGGGAAUCUGCCGCAAUGGGCGAAAGCCUGACGGAGCAACGCCGCGUGAGUGAAAAAGAUCUUCGGAUCGUAAAACUCUGUUAUUAGGGAAGAACAAAUGUGUAAGUAACUAUGCACGUCUUGACGGUACCUAAUCAGAAAGCCACGGCUAACUACGUG